rnacentral:tRNA from 1 species
GCCCUUGUAGUUAAAUGGAUAUAACGAGGUCCUCCUAAGACUUAAUUAUAGGUUCGAUUCCUGUCAAGGGCGCCA